CACAAGCCAUGCAUGCCCGCGCACCCGGGAGGCGGCGGACGGCUCAGGACAACGGUUGCACCCCCCGCGGCGGUCCCUGCUAGCCGGACACCGCUGGCAACCCGGCGCCAAGACGUGCGCGCAAGGGCGGGCGCCCGCGGGCGAGCAGCGUGACGCAGCGACGGCCCGCCCGGGCUUCCGGGGCAUCACCCGGUCGGCGCGGUCGCGGCGCGCCGAGGGCCCGACGCCUGGCGGAGAAUCAGGGUUCGACUCCGGAGAGCGGGCCUGAGAGACGGCCCGCACAUCCAAGGACGGCAGCAGGCGCGGAACUUGCCCAAUGCGCGCGCGCGAGGCAGCGACGGGGAGUGCGCGAGCGAGGCGGGCCCACAGCCCCCGCCGCGGAGCCG
rnacentral:rRNA from 1 species